rnacentral:rRNA from 1 species
UGGGGAAUAUUGCACAAUGGGCGCAAGCCUGAUGCAGCCAUGCCGCGUGUGUGAAGAAGGCCUUCGGGUUGUAAAGUACUUUCAGCGGGGAGGAAGGGAGUAAAGUUAAUACCUUUGCUCAUUGACGUUACCCGCAGAAGAAGCACCGGCUAACUCCGUGCCAGCAGCCGCGGUAAUACGGAGGGUGCAAGCGUUAAUCGGAAUUACUGGGCGUAAAGCGCACGCAGGCGGUUUGUUAAGUCAGAUGUGAAAUCCCCGGGCUCAACCUGGGAACUGCAUCUGAUACUGGCAAGCUUGAGUCUCGUAGAGGGGGGUAGAAUUCCAGGUGUAGCGGUGAAAUGCGUAGAGAUCUGGAGGAAUACCGGUGGCGAAGGCGGCCCCCUGGACAAAGACUGACACUCAGGUGCGAAAGCGUGGGGAGCAAACAGG